rnacentral:rRNA from 1 species
UUCCUACGGGUGGCAGCAGUAGGGAAUAUUGGACAAUGGGCGAAAGCCUGAUCCAGCAACGCCGCGUGCACGAUGAAGGUCUUCGGAUUGUAAAGUGCUUUUAAGGGAGAUGAGAAAGGACAGUAUCCCUUGAAUAAGCCUCGGCGAACUACGUGCCAGCAGCCGCGGUAAAACGUAGGAGGCAAGCGUUAUCCGGAUUUAUUGGGCGUAAAGUGCGUGCAGGCUGUUUGGAAAGUUGGAUGUGAAAGCUCCUGGAUUAACUGGGAGAGGUCGUUCAAAACUACCAAACUAGAGAAUGGGAGAGGGAAGUGGAAUUCCGGGUGUAGUGGUGAAAUGCGUAGAUAUCCGGAGGAACACCAGUGGCGAAAGCGGCUUCCUGGACCAUUUCUGACGCUUAGACGCGAAAGCUAGGGGAGCGAACGGGGUUAGAUACCCGGGUAGUC